rnacentral:SRP_RNA from 1 species
ACCGGGUGCAGUGGCAUGUACCUGUAAUCCAAGUCACUGGGAGGCUGAGGUUGGUGGAUCAAGUGAGCUGAGGAGCUCUGGGCUGCAGCACGCUAUGUCGAACAGGGUGUCCACGCUAAGUUCAGUAUUGACAUGGUGUUCCUGGGGGAGCCUGGGACCACCAGGUUGUCUAAGGAGGGGUGAACCGGCCCAGGUCGGAAACGAAGCAGGUCAAAUCCCCCGUGCUGUCCAGUAGUGGGAUAAUACCUGUGAGUAGAUGCUGCAGUGCAGCCUUGGCAAAACAUUGAGACCUAAUAUUUU